ACAUUCUCACCCUCUUUUCUCCCAGGUCACAAAGUGGGCAGCCAGCCAAAGAGUGGCCAGGACUGGGGAUGGGCCCAUGCAGGUGUGGACAGAUUUGCUGUGCUCUCUGACAUAUGGACUUGGGAAGCAGCUCUUCUGGAAAACAAGCGCCAGCUUCUUGACAGUUACUUUGAAGCCUACCAGCACACGUUGGACCCUGAGGAGAGGUUCGCCUUAGCACAAGUGAUGACGGACAUCGUGCACCGGCGCCCGAGGUUUGAUCUCAGCCACCCCUAUUUCGUUAAGGCCUACCGAGAGGAAUGCACCUGCCUGAGGCUUCACCUGCAGUUAGUGAGGGGCAUCAUCACCCAGCAGGUGAGUGUAGUUGGGUUUUAAAAUACUACGUGUGAGAAGAGGAUGGAAAACACAGGCCAGAAAUGAAAAUAGUGUUUUCCUUCCAUUGCAGAUCUGAAAUCUGUGUUUUCUAGGCCAGCAUGUACAGCUGACUUAUUUGUAAGCUCAUUUGCGUUGUUGAAAUCCCAGUGUAACUAUGGUCUUAAAGAGAGAUUUCCACCCCUAAUUAGAGUUAAUAGUCCACAAGGAAUUGAUGACCUUAGUUUUCAUUAGAUUGCAAAGUUUAUUUGUAGUGAAAGAAGAACUAAUGAUACAUCUUUUUGACAUUAAUGUAUAAAAUUUUGUUUAUUUUUUUUAAAGUGUGAUUAUUUUUAGGACACUGAAAGAAACCAUCAUAUUGUAUGUCCUCUAGGGAAACGCUAAUGACAUGAAGCAAGCAAGAGACAAAGAAUUGUUGCCACCUGGUUGAAAUUUUUUCCAUGUAGUCAAUUAUUUAACAGAAAGAUUUCUCUUUUGCUUCUUAAACUUGUCUGAAGUCAGUUGUCUUUGCUUCCCUUGGCUAUCUGGCUCAGACUGAGAAACCAGCCCAUUGCAAAAGAGUCUUCAAAACAAUGUCAGGGUGAAAAUUAGUCAAAUGAUGAAGAGACACAAAGGGACGAAAUCCUUCUCAUGUCAAGGCUUAUAACUCAUGGCUGUGGGAAAGUUUAACUUUUCUAAUUUUAAUGUUUACGCUGCAUUUUUAGAUAGAAUGUCAGCAGGAGUAUGUCCAGAGGAUUUGGCGAGAGGAUCAUCUGGACAAUAGCAAUACAUUUGGACUUCCCCUUAAUAUAGUUUGCAAACAACUUAUUUCCAUCAACAAUAGCUGGUAAGUUGAUGUUGUCUUUAUACAUUUUAUGUGUGAUCUUCUAGAUUAAUUAAGGAUAGAGUGUUAAAUCUCAGUACUACUCUAUAAAGCACUUCUCAAGUGCUUGGGGGAGAUGAAAGAAAUAGGUACAAAGGCCACAAAGGAGGGAUUCCCUUGUAUAUUGAGUAUCUUUUUGUUUUGUGAAUAAUAAAGAAUAGGAGGCUAGAAUUUAAACAUAUGCCGCUGGGUACAGAAUCAUCAUUCUCUUGAAAAGGCCUGGGGAAAAAGCAGUUGCUCUUGAGAUGCUGUCAGGAUUUAACCAGAUGCACCACACGAGCCUACAUGUAUAAAGCUUGAAGGUGCUUAAAAGCUUCUUAAAAAGGAAUUUAAGUGUCACUAAAGAGGUUUCUGCAGAUUUGCCUUGGAGGGUCACAACAGAGUUAAAUUUAAGGAACAGAGUUAAAUUUCCUGUGACCACUCAGAGAUGGUACACACUUUGUCACCCCCUAGAU
rnacentral:lncRNA from 1 species